rnacentral:rRNA from 1 species
GAGAAGAUAGUGGCGAACGGGUGAGUAACACGUGGGUAACCUGCCCAUAAGAGGGGGAGUAACAUCCGGAAACGGGUGCUAAUACCGCAUAGUUUUCUCGAUCGCAUGAUUGAGAAAGGAAAGACGGCCUUUGUGCUGUCGCUUAUGGAUGGACCCGCGGCGUAUUAGUUAGUUGGUGAGGUAACGGCUUACCAAGACGAUGAUACGUAGCCGACCUGAGAGGGUGAUCGGCCACAUUGGGACUGAGACACGGCCCAAACUCCUACGGGAGGCAGCAGUAGGGAAUCUUCCGCAAUGGACGAAAGUCUGACGGAGCAACGCCGCGUGAGUGAAGAAAAGGUUUUCGGAUCGUAAAACUCUGUUGUCAGAGAAGAACAAGUUGGAGAGUAACUGCUCCAGCCUUGACGGUAUCUGACCAGAAAGCCACGGCUAACUACGUGCCAGCCGCCGC